rnacentral:rRNA from 1 species
AGAACGAACGCUGGCGGCAUGCCUAAUACAUGCAAGUCGAACGAACUCUUCGGAGUUAGUGGCGCACGGGUGCGUAACGCGUGGGAAUCUGCCCCUUGGUUCGGAAUAACAGUUGGAAACGACUGCUAAUACCGGAUGAUGACGAAAGUCCAAAGAUUUAUCGCCAAGGGAUGAGCCCGCGUAGGAUUAGCUAGUUGGUGAGGUAAAGGCUCACCAAGGCAACGAUCCUUAGCUGGUCUGAGAGGAUGAUCAGCCACACUGGGACUGAGACACGGCCCAGACUCCGACGGGAGCAGCGAGGUAGGGAAUAGUUAGGACAAGUGGGACGAA